rnacentral:ncRNA from 10 species
AAUCAGCAUCUAGAAACACCUCGCAAGAGGUGUGGCAACCGAGCCCACCAGGCCACGGUGCCUCCCAACAAAUGGGGAUGCGGCGCGACGAGCGCAAAAGAACUGGUGCUC